AAUCUGGAAUGCCAGGGGAUAUUGAUUUUGGGAUCAUACAAAUUUUAGGUACCAGGGCAAUUCUCUUCCAUUGCACUUUGGUUGGGCUGACCCCAGUGGUUUCUCAAAAUGUAGGAAAUUCAACUGUAUAAUUUAUGGUAGUGGGUGACUGUGUUUGUUCUGUUCCCGA